rnacentral:sRNA from 1 species
UUGAGGAUAAUAAACACUUUGGUGUCCACCCUCCACCUCCUUUCAUUUUGUAGGCAUCAACAUCGAAAGCUACCAGGCCUUGGUAUUCUCAUCCGGUAUAUGCAAGAUACUGGCAACAUUAUCAUCAAGCAAUGGCUUGGAUGCAGAGCCAUCACAAUGCCUACAGGAAGGCCGUGGAAUCCUGUUUCAGUCUUCCAUGGUACUUCCCUCCUGCACUACUUCCCCAAAGCUCUUACGAUAACGAGGCUGCGUAUCCUCAGUCCUUCUAUGACCAUCGUGUGGCCUGGCAGGACUACCCCUGCAGUUCUUCACAUUUCAGAAGAUCUGGGCAGCAUCCAUAUUACAGCAGUAGGAUCCAGGCAUCCACAAGAGAAGACCAAGCUUUGUCCAAAGAGGAAGAGAUGGAGACCGAGUCAGAGGCAGAGGUAGAAUGUGACCUGAGCAAUAUGGAAAUCACCGAAGAGCUCCGCCAGUACUUUGCAGAGACCGAGAGGCAUAGAGAAGAACGACAUAUUCACAGGUGCACAAAACCGAUCAAUGAGAUGAUACGUGUUAAUGGCUGUAGAAAAGUGGAAAGGAACAUGAAAAUGCACUUCUGUUGUAAAAGUAAAAAUGGCGAUUGUCCAGUAACUUCAGAAUUACAUUUGUCAUGGGGCAAGGGAUGUGCAAUGAAGAGAGAAGACCAGUCUGAAAUGGCUCCAGUUCUGCUGGCGUGUACCUAUGUUCUGGGUGGUUGCUGACAAGCCAGAAAUGAGGCAUUCAUGGCAUACAUCAAGUUUGUGCUUUACCUCGGUUGUGCUACAAUCAUUCAUUUUGGCAAAAUAGCAGAAAAUAUAAUC